rnacentral:rRNA from 1 species
UACGUAGGGUGCGAGCGUUGUCCGGAAUUAUUGGGCGUAAAGAGCUCGUAGGCGGUGUGUCGCGUCGGCCGUGAAAACCUGGGGCUCAACUCUGGGCGUGCGGUCGAUACGGGCAUCACUUGAGUUCGGCAGGGGAGACUGGAAUUCCUGGUGUAGCGGUGAAAUGCGCAGAUAUCAGGAGGAACACCGAUGGCGAAGGCAGGUCUCUGGGCCAUUACUGACACUGAGAAGCGAAAGCAUGGGGAGCGAACAGG